UACGUAGGGUGCAAGCGUUGUCCGGAAUCAUUGGGCGUAAAGCGCGCGUAGGCGGUCAGGUAAGUCCGGUGUGAAAGUCAAAGGCUCAACCUUUGAAUGCCGCUGGAUACCGCCUGACUUGAGUCCGGAAGGGGCGAGUGGAAUUCCUGGUGUAGCGGUGAAAUGCGCAGAUAUCAGGAGGAACACCAAUGGCGAAGGCAGCUCGCUGGAACGGUACUGACGCUGAGGCGCGAAAGCGUGGGGAGCAAACAGG
rnacentral:rRNA from 1 species